rnacentral:rRNA from 1 species
AUUGAACGCUGGCGGCAUGCUUUACACAUGCAAGUCGAACGGUAACAGGCCGCAAGGUGCUGACGAGUGGCGAACGGGUGAGUAAUGCAUCGGAACGUGCCCAGUCGUGGGGGAUAACUACUCGAAAGAGUAGCUAAUACCGCAUACGAUCUAUGGAUGAAAGCGGGGGACCGUAAGGCCUCGCGCGAUUAGAGCGGCCGAUGUCAGAUUAGGUAGUUGGUGGGGUAAAGGCUCACCAAGCCAACGAUCUGUAGCUGGUCUGAGAGGACGACCAGCCACACUGGGACUGAGACACGGCCCAGACUCCUACGGGAGGCAGCAGUGGGGAAUUUUGGACAAUGGGCGCAAGCCUGAUCCAGCAAUGCCGCGUGCAGGAAGAAGGCCUUCGGGUUGUAAACUGCUUUUGUACGGAACGAAACGGCUCUGGUUAAUACCCGGGGCUAAUGACGGUACCGUAAGAAUAAGCACCGGCUAACUACGUG